rnacentral:lncRNA from 1 species
CCCGGAGCCCCGCCCCUCACGCCGGUUUGUUAUCAAGCGCCGGGGAAGGGAGGGGCUGGAAGGAGGAAGCUCUUAAAGGGCCCGCGCCUAACGCUGGAGCCCCCUGCAGGACAGCUCAGGAACUGCAGGCUCGCGAGAGACGUCAAAAUGGGGGCCAGCCCCACGUGCCCCACCUGGCCCAAGGGCCUGGACUCAGUCUUAAGAUGUGCUGGAACUACGAUGCCAUGGCAGAGAGUCACUAACCUCCCUCUGAAGCCUUCAACUUUGGGCCUGGAAACCCAAAUUAUUCUGAAGAGCUCAAGGAGGACCCAGAGGCAGGAAUUUCAGGUGAUGUCUCAGUGAUGACAACCAACCCUCCAGGUCCCUCCCUGCAGCCCAGCAAGUUCCCCCAUCCCUGUCCCUCAUAUAAAAGCAGUUGAGACCACAGAGGGUGUAUUCUGUCAUAGGACAUACAAGGAGAUGAUGACUGGCUGUUAGAGCAUUUGGGUAAGUGGAUUUACUUGGAGUAAUUACAAGCUGAUGGAGUAGUCAUGCAACAUAUCCUUCAGUUAAUAACCCUUUUCUUUUUUUCUUUUCAAAUUGCAGUAGUGUGGUACUGAGACAGCCUAUGGACUGCCAUGGCAACACCAGUAAAGACUUGUGAGGGAGAGGCCGGUAUUAGUGUGUCUGCAUACUGCUAACUAACCUUUGAUUCUUUGUCCCUUACAUGUUUGCAAGUGAGUCCCCACGGGGCAGAGUGCAGGGGACAGAGAAGAAGAAAAGAAGAAAGAAAGUUUAAGUGUACU